CCUACGGGAGGCAGCAGUGAGGAAUAUUGGUCAAUGGGCGGAAGCCUGAACCAGCCAAGUCGCGUGAGGGAAUAAGGCCCUAAGGGUCGUAAACCUCUUUUGCCGGGGAGCAAGGGCCGGGACGCGCCCCGGCCCGGAGAGUACCCGGGAAAAAAGCAUCGGCUAACUCCGUGCAAGCAGCCGCGGUAAUACGGAGGAUGCGAGCGUUAUCCGGAUUUAUUGGGUUUAAAGGGUGCGUAGGGGGGCUUGUAGGUCAGCGGUAAAGGUUCGGGGCUCAACCCCGUCCGGCCGUUGAAACUGGGGGCCUUGAGUGGGCGAGAAGAAGGCGGAAUGCGUAGUGUAGCGGUGAAAUGCAUAGAUAUUACGCAGAACCCCGAUUGCGAAGGCAGCCUUCCGGCGCCCUACUGACGCUGAGGCACGAAAGUGCGGGUAUCGAACAGGAUUAGAUACCCCGGUAGUC
rnacentral:rRNA from 1 species